GACGAGGGGUCCAAGCGUUGUUCGGAAUCAUUGGGCGUAAAGCGCGUGUAGGCGGCUCUAUAAGUCAGGUGUGAAAGCCCCGAGCUUAACUUGGGAAGUGCUUUUGAUACUGCAGAGCUUGAAUGUGGGAGAGGGUAGUGGAAUUCCAGGUGUAGUGGUGAAAUACGUAGAUAUCUGGAGGAACACCGGUGGCGAAGGCGGCUACCUGGCCCAAAAUUGACGCUGAGACCCGAAAGCAUGGGGAGCAAACAGG
rnacentral:rRNA from 1 species